ACAACGACGUUGAAGGGAAGAGUAACAUCUUGUAAAACCGGAUUAGCGAGCUGGGGGCGGUGAGAGCCCAGUCGGAAACAAGUUGCGAAGAACAUCCCGGAGUCGCUACCCGAACACUGAAGUCAGUAGGCGUAGCCGGAGUUGCCUGUCCGUUAUCAUAUGGCCGAAGAUUGAGAUGAUAAUUGAUCAUCAGUCUUUUGAGUGAGCAGCUGAGCUGUUAACAUGGGUGGUACCGCGGAACCGAGUCUUUCGUCCCAUAU
rnacentral:ncRNA from 1 species